rfam:Penicillium steckii strain IBT 24891 PENSTE_contig051, whole genome shotgun sequence.
AGCGGAUUGAUGUAAUAGUUAACAUAUAUGGCUCAUGCCCAUAAAAUUUAGGUGCAACCCCUAAGUCCGCUA